GUGGGGAAUCUUGCGCAAUGGGCGAAAGCCUGACGCAGCCAUGCCGCGUGGAUGAUGAAGGUCUUAGGAUUGUAAAAUCCUUUCACCGGGGACGAUAAUGACGGUACCCGGAGAAGAAGCCCCGGCUAACUUCGU
rnacentral:rRNA from 1 species